UACGUAGGUGGCAAGCGUUUGUCCGGAUUUACUGGGCGUAAAGGGCGUGCAGGCGGUUUGUUAAGUGCAGGGUGAAAGCUCCCCGGCUCAACUGGGAGAGGUCCUUGCAUACUGGCAGACUUGAGGGAGGCAGAGGAAAGUGGAAUUCCCGGUGUAGUGGUGAUAUGCGUAGAUAUCGGGAGGAACACCUGUGGCGAAGGCGGCUUUCUGGGCCUUACCUGACGCUGAGACGCGAAAGCGUGGGGAGCGAACCGG
rnacentral:rRNA from 1 species